UUUUUUUAAUUUUUGAUUUUUAUCAUUUCAGUCUUGAAUUUUUUCCUAGAGGAAAAUUUUUGGUUUGUUUUUUUUGCUUUUGUGCAGAAUAGUAGUUGGAACUUGAACAAAUAAUAAGAAGUGACAAUUAUUGUGACACCCAAAAUGUCAUAUUUAAGUUAACACGUGGGAACUGGUAUGACACAACAAAUCAUGCACGACAUGCUAGACAACCUG
rnacentral:lncRNA from 1 species